rnacentral:rRNA from 1 species
UACAGAGGUCCCAAGCGUUGUUCGGAUUCACUGGGCGUAAAGGGUGCGUAGGCGGUCGGGUAAGUCUGAUGUGAAAUCUCGGAGCUCAACUCCGAAACGGCAUCGGAUACUAUCCGGCUCGAGGUGUGGAGGGGGGACUGGAAUUCUCGGUGUAGCAGUGAAAUGCGUAGAUAUCGAGAGGAACACCAGUGGCGAAGGCGAGUCCCUGGACAUUACCUGACGCUGAGGCACGAAAGCUAGGGGAGCAAACAGG